AUGAUUUCACUCUACAGAGUUUGUCAACACUCGAGGGGACCUACAGUUUAACGCCGAAUCCGAAUGGCAAACGUGAAAAAUCGCGUAUAUGGGGCGCAAGUGGGAUCGAACCCGGA